ensembl:lncRNA
GUUUGAAUUUACAUUCUGGAGUACCAGGGGCACGAGGAUUUUGCCAGUGGUGUUUUGCUUUGUCAGUGGGAGGGGGCUUAAGUGUGGGUCCACGGGGCAUGCUGGAGGUCAAGGUCCAUGCUGGAUAUGCAGUGGAGGGUAACUGCAGGAGAAGGAAAGCUAGUGGGGGACUAGAGCAGGGGAGGAUGUGCGUCCCCGGGGCAUGCUGGAGGUCAAGGUCCAUGCUGGAUAUGCGCUGGAGCGUAACUACAAGAAAGGUAAGCUAGUGGGGGACUAGAGCAGGGGAGGAUGUGCGUCCCCGGGGCAUGCUGGAGGUCAAGGGCCAUGCUGGAUAUGCGGUGGAGGGUAACUGCAGGAGAAGGAAAGCUCAUGGGGGAUUAGAGCGGAGGAGUAUGUGGGUCCUCGGGGCCUGCUGGAGGGCAAGGGCCAUGCUGGAUUUGUGGUGGAGGGUAACUGCGGGAGAAGGAAAGCUAGUGGGGGAGUAGAGCAGAGGAGUAUGUUGGUCCCCGGGGCCUGCUGGAGGUCCAGGUCCAUGCCCGAUGUGAGUAGCAGCAGGGCCAGCGCGCCCAGGAGCACAUCUUUUUCGACCGUAAAGGGAGACAGGAGGCCGACUCACUGCCUCGGCUAAAUGGAGAGGGAAUUUCAGCAGGGCCAGGGCACAGGCAUGGACCUUUUUCAGCUGUAAGGGAGGCAAGAGCAAGGUGUGAUGUAGGUCCCCGGGGCCUGCUGGAGGUCCAGGUCCAUGCCCGAGUCACUUAGAUAAAUUAAAAAUGUUGUUGUUUGGCUUUGUUUUUUUUUUUUUGUAUUUUAUUUGUUCCUGAGUAAAUCGGUUUGGCUGAGAUUAAAGUUAUAGUUUUUACACAGCUGAAUAAACGUCAAGCAGACAGCUGAUUAUCAGAAGUGUGAGAUGCUGGAGAAUAUACUCCGGUGUCCUGUUAUAUUUUAGACAGCAAGGAGUGUAUUAAACUUUACCGAAACAAUUUGCAAAUUUCAUUAAAAUUGAAUAAACUAUCAUCUUGUCUUUAUUUUUAGUUAGCACCUUAAAAGCUUAAAGCUGUAAGCUAAUGAUAGUUAUAUAAGAGCAGAUGCUGCUGGUGCAAUAAGCUGUAGUUUUACGUCCAGUGGAUGAUGAUCUGAUUAGUCGACUAAUCGCAUAAAUAAUCGGUGACUAGUCGACUAUCAAAAUAAUCGUUUGUGGCAGCCCUACUUCUAUGCCCCAUCUUUGUUUACUCUUUCCCACCCAACAAGUGCAUAAAUAAGAUGUUAAAAACGUCAUCAUCAUAUCAAACAUGAUCGAUUUGGGGGGAGUUUGUUUGGCACAUGCUGACUGCAUUCUAAUUA